CGUUGUUCUCCUAUUAUUUUAAUGCGUUUCCCUCGGAUUAAGUUUGUUACCCCGAUUUUGUUUUUUGAGUUUCGAACAGCGGUAUACUACUGUUGCCUUUAUUUUAUAUAUAUCAUUAAAAAUGCUUUAUUGAAUAUAUAUGAAAGAAUAAUUACACAGAUAAAUACGGAUUCAUUAAAAGUUCCAUUAUAUAAAGUUUAUGUAUCUGAACAAAUCGACAUGGGUGAAAGGAAGGACCUAGACGGUGGCGGAUCCAAGAAGGGCGUACAUCCCCUGGUUUGAUAAAAAAAAUCUUUUUAUUCGCAUGAAAUCGUAAAAAAAUGUCUUCGUUAAAGAGACCUACACUCAUUUUCACUUUUCCUCGUAAACCUGGAUCCGCCACUAUCAGCUUCGCUAAAAAAAAAAUAUUGACGUGGAAACAUUUGUUUUAAAAGAAUUUAAAACAAUAAGAGGUAGUUAUUUGAAAUAAACUCUAUCAGAAGAAAAGAAAUGAAGAGUACCGUGCUCGUGGAAAGUUGACUCCUUGGCAAUGAUACCUCAUUUUAUUUUUAUACUGAUGAUCCCUUUUUAGUUCACAUGAUUUCAUUUCGUAUCAUGCUUUGACUAUGACAUGAAAUGUAAAAUGACAUUAAAGAAAAAACAUAAUCAACUUAGAUGAGACAGCAAUCCAACAAAAAAAAAAGACCACUGAGGUCUUGGAUACAAAAUCAUUAUGGUAUCAUGUACGACUUUAUACAAAUCUACAAUAUAAGUUCAUUGGUGAUGUACAAUGAUAU
rnacentral:lncRNA from 1 species